UGGGGAAUAUUGGACAAUGGGCGCAAGCCUGAUCCAGCCAUGCCGCGUGAGUGAUGAAGGCCCUAGGGGUGUAAAGCUCUUUCACCGGUGAAGAUAAUGACGGUAACCGGAGAAGAAGCCCCGGCUAACUUCGUGCCAGCAGCCGCGGUAAUACGAAGGGGGCUAGCGUUGUUCGGAUUUACUGGGCGUAAAGCGCACGUAGGCGGACUUUUAAGUCAGGGGUGAAAUCCCGGGGCUCAACCCCGGAACUGCCUUUGAUACUGGAAGUCUGGAGUAUGGUAGAGGUGAGUGGAAUUCCGAGUGUAGAAGUGAAAUUCGUAGAUAUUCGGAGGAACACCAGUGGCGAAGGCGGCUCACUGGACCAUUACUGACGCUGAGGUGCGAAAGCGUGGGGAGCAAACAGG
rnacentral:rRNA from 1 species